UAGGGAAUCUUCGGCAAUGGGGGGAACCCUGACCGAGCAACGCCGCGUGAGUGAAGAAGGUUUUCGGAUCGUAAAGCUCUGUUGUUAAGGAAGAACGAGUGUGAGAAUGGAAAGUUCAUACUGUGACGGUACUUAACCAGAAAGGGACGGCUAACUACGUGCCAGCAGCCGCGGUAAUACGUAGGUCCCGAGCGUUGUCCGGAUUUAUUGUGCGUAAAGCGAGCGCAGGCGGUUAGAUAAGUCUGAAGUUAAAGGCAGUGGCUCAACCAUUGUAGGCUUUGGAAACUGGUUAGCUUGAGUGCAGAAGGGGAGAGUGGAAUUCCAUGUGUAGCGGUGAAAUGCGUAGAUAUAUGGAGGAACACCGGUGGCGAAAGCGGCUCUCUGGUCUGUAACUGACGCUGAGGCUCGAAAGCGUGGGGAGCGAACAGG
rnacentral:rRNA from 1 species